GGCCCGAGUUGACGGGCUCCCCGGUGCGUGGGUGCAACCAGGUGGUACAGCGGCGUUGGUCACUGCGGGGGGCGGGGAGAGACGUGCACCUGUUAGUGCCGGAGGGAAACGGGGUGCAGGGAGAAGCCGCGCCGCCCAACCCUCCCCCGCCCCGCCUCGCCCGGCCCCGCGCCCCCCGCCCGCAGCCCCCGCCCCUCACUCGAUAAAGAAGACUCGGCCGUCCCUGCAGACCCCGUAGGACCAGUGCUCAGGUAUGGUAUGACUUCAGUGGCUAUUUAAAAGUCCAUCUAACUUUCAGGAUUCUUUGAUUGUGUGAAGCUAAGCUUGUUCAUUAUAAUUAUACAACAUUCAGAGCAGAACCAGGAAAACAUUGCCCACAGUAACAGCAACAUUGUGUGAUGAUCAACUAUGAAUGACUUAGCUCUUCUCAGCAAUACAGUGAUCCAAGACAGUUACAAAGGACUCAUGCUGGAAAAUUCUAUCCACAUCCAGGAAAAGAACUGAUGGACUCUGAAUGCAGAUUGAAGCAUACUAUUUUUCACUUUCUUUACUUUGUUCAUUUUUUUUUCCUUUUGGUUUGUUUCUUCUUUCACAACUAUAAUUAAUAUGGAAAUAUGUUUUACAUGAUUGCACCUAUAUAACCUACAUCAAAUUGCUUACUGUUUUAGGGAGGGGAAUGGAAAGGUAAAGAGGAAGAAAAAAAAUGGAACUCAAAAUUUUGUAAAAAUGAAUGUUAAAAAUUGUCUUUAUAUACAAUUGGGGGGAAAGUACGAUUAAAAUAAUUAUAUGAUAUGCA